rnacentral:sRNA from 1 species
AGUCAAUGGGGAAAUAAGGACAGGUUUUAGAGAAUAUAGCUAUGAAAAAGGUAAAACAGCAACCAAGCCAACCAUGAAAAAAAGCCAGCAGGUUACAGACACCCACAACUCAUACCUUCCCAUUAUCUCAAAGUCAGACCAUUUUCCCAACCCUGCAGCGGAGGUCACGGAAGCUUGUCCAUUAGCUAUCUGCAAGUAUACGUUUAUACUGAAGCAGUACUCUUCCAUUUGAGCCGCUGCUGACGGCACCAAUAAAAGGGAAAUUACCUCAUUUGCAAAGGCCUAGGAGACUGUUAUUAUAAAUACAAAUGACCUUUCCUAGGUACUCACUAGACCCUUGUACAGUUUAGUUUUAUAAUCUAGUUAAGCGUUAAUACUUGAAACUUCAUCUGCUCCAAAUUAAAAAGUUAAAAUCAUGGGUGUUUUAACAGGCCUCUGUAAUAUAAAAGCAUGAAGAGGAUCACAUGAGCCUAACCCCAAAGCAUGAAGGUAAAAAUUUCAUCUAAUUCUGCGGCCUUUAAAAGGAGAUUAGGAUUAGAAAGUCAUUUGGGUGAAGUUUCCUUGAGUGACUUCUGAGUGGUUCUGGUGACUUCUAAGAAGAAACAACACUCUUCUCAUCUCUUAUCACCGGAUACUGUGUCACCUUGGAGUUGUGAAGACUAUCAUCAAAAUGCAGACAUCAGGACCACCAGCACUGAGAUUUUGCCACAGCUUCCUAAACUAUGGGUUUAGGGUGAAAACACACACACCCCAUAUGUGACUGGGUAAAUGAAUGUGGGAGCCGUGAAAAACUAAACAUCCCAAAACUAAUUCACAAUCAAAUGCAUAGAGAACCAGAAGUGAGUGACUCUGGAAGAGCUCUCUGCAUUGUGUGUUGGCUUCACCGCAGCUAUGGCUCUAAAAACAUGUACACAUGGUGCACUGUACCUGUGGUAUAUAACACAGAGCACCAACAAAUAUCGCCUGAAAUACUUGAGCUUGGAUUCCAGACAAUUAAAUAUUAUAAACUGA